CCCAAUAACAGCAUUGUACAGUAAAGCGGGAAGUCAAUAGGCAGGGUAAAAGGGUGGUCCACUGACACAAAUCACGUGACCAGAACUGCCAAAAAGGGGGCAUGGUUGUCCAAAGAAUUGGAAGGCCAGCCUGGGACACAGUGAGACAUGGGGACACUGAGAGCCCCGGGGACACAGACACUUCGUGACACUGGGAGACAUGGGGGCACUGGACACACUUGGG